CGAGAAAUGGCGUCGACGGUGGGAGUUCCAUCUCUUUACCAGGUUCCUCACCUGGAAUUCUCCAAAACCACUUCCAAGAAGAGGUCUACUUGCUUACCUCUCUCUCUCAACAAACCCUUCCUCUCUCCCUUCUCUCUCCGCAGACCUCGCCUCAUCCACACCUCCUCCUCCUCUCUCCUCAUCCCUUCCGCCGUCGCCACUCCCAACUCCGUCCUCAGCGAGGAAGCCUUCAAAAGCCUCGGCCUUUCCGACGAAUUCGACAACACCGACCCCUCCCCCUCCGACGACGAUGGUGAAGAGCUCGCUAUCUCCAAACUCGGUUUGCCUCAGCGUCUCGGCGAGU
rnacentral:lncRNA from 1 species